rfam:Gossypium hirsutum cultivar TM-1 chromosome 15, whole genome shotgun sequence
AACUCAUGGUGAGGGCACCAUCUCAAUAAGUCCUUGUAUCUCUCUCAUGCAUCAUAUAACGUCUCUAAAUCAAUCUGACCAAAGGAAGAGAUAUCAUUCCUCAACUU